ACUGGGGACCAUCUGGAGAGGUGGCAGAGCGGUUGAAUGUACCUGACUCGAAAUCAGGCAGGCGUUUAUAGCGCCUCGGGGGUUC
rnacentral:misc_RNA from 1 species